AAGUUCUAAACACGAAUUAGUGAUCCCCUCGUAGUGAGGAUCAUAAAGGCAAAGAGUCCGGAUCGUCAAGCGGACAAGCCGAAAGGAAUCCACGGGGAAAGGGCGUGCUCUAAAGUUUUCAGGUACUCAAGUAAAGGAUGAUGAUCAAGCAAUCGAGUCGAACCGAACACA